AGACCAUGAUGGGGGUAUCUCCUCACUAAGUCUUUAAACCACUCCAAUGCCUCAUAUAAGGACUCAUCAUGGCUUUAGGAGAACUUAGUGAUUGCCUUUCGAAGCUU